rnacentral:rRNA from 1 species
CCUAUGGGAGGCUGCAGUGAGGAAUAUUGGUCAAUGGGCGGGAGCCUGAACCAGCCAAGUCGCGUGAGGGAAGAAGGUACUGAGUAUUGUAAACCUCUUUUGCCAGGGGACAAAGGCGGCCACGGGUGGCCGUAAGAGGGUACCUGGAGAAAAAGCAUCGGCUAACUCCGUGCCAGCAGCCGCGGUAAUACGGAGGAUGCGAGCGUUAUCCGGAUUUAUUGGGUUUAAAGGGUGCGCAGGCGGCGUGUCAAGUCAGCGGUAAAAUGUCGGGGCUCAACCCCGGCCGGCCGUUGAAACUGGCGUGCUUGAGUCCGCGGAAAGCAGGCGGAAUUCGUCGUGUAGCGGUGAAAUGCUUAGAUAUGACGAAGAACCCCGAUUGCGAAGGCAGCUUGCUGCAGCGGAACUGACGCUGAUGCUCGAAAGCGCGGGUAUCGAACAGGAUUAGAUACCCGAGUAGUC